rnacentral:rRNA from 1 species
UAUUGGGCAAUGGAGAAAACUCUGACCCAGCAACGCCGCGUGAAGGAAGAAGGUUUUCGGAUUGUAAACUUCUGAUCUAGGGGAAAAAGAAAGUGAUGGUACCCUAGGAGAAAGCCACGGCUAACUACGUGCCAGCAGCCGCGGUAAUACGUAGGUGGCAAGCGUUGUCCGGAAUGACUGGGCGUAAAGGGAGCGUAGGUUGUUGUUUAAGUUAAAUGUGAAAGCCCGUGGCUCAACUACGGAACUGCAUUUAAUACUGGACAACUAGAGUGCAGGAGGGGUAAGCGGAAUUCCUAGCGUAGCGGUGGAAUGCGUAGAUAUUAGGAAGAACACCAGAGGCGAAGGCGGCUUACUGGACUGUAACUGACACUGAGGCUCGAAAGCGUGGGGAGCAAACAGG